ensembl:lncRNA
UGACAGAACAAAUGUCACAAAUACAUGGGGGUAUUCGGAACAAUAUCCCUAAAAGAGACACAAUGUAAACAAGCAUCCGUUCUGGAGGUUGUUCGUGAAGCAUCUAAUCCAGUGGGAAUUGCAGUUUAUAUUGUAGGUGGGCGGAAUGGUGAAUAUAGUCAUUGUUGCAUUAUACAUUAAGUACCGCUUGUCGCCACACGAGUGCAGUGUCUACCCAUUAAUGAGCGCCGUCAAGUUUGAUUGGCUGUCACGGCCAAACGGUUUUGAAUUUGAGAAAGCUGUUUAAUACACUUGUUCAGCUUGGUCGGAAGAUCAUAUAUGCCAAGUUUCAUGAAGAUUGGACAUAAUUUGUGGCCUGUGGAAAUUUACAACUGAUUUUGACAACUUUCAACAUGGCGGCCAAGUUCUGAUGUUGCAAUGAGAAAUAAUUUUAAAGCUAUAUAAGGAGGUCUGGCAGUAUCCUCAGACAUUAAAAAUAAGUUUGAAAUGUACUCAUGUGAAGAGAGAGGAGUUAAAACACGUCUUCAUUAAUUAUAGCGCCCCCUAGAGGUCAAUGGUCACCAAAUUCAUUAAGUGUCCCCAAGAUGAUGUUAUGGGUCUAUGUAACAAGUUUGGUUAUGAUAUGUCAAAGGGAU